GGGCCCCCUCCCCGCCGCCCCGCCUCUCUGCUGAGGCGCCUCCCGGGGCCGGGGGGCAGCGGGCCGGGGCGGGCUGCCCCUUCACGGCCGGCUCGCUCCGGGCGGGCGGCCAGGGCGCCCCGGGCGGCGUUGCUUAAAGCCGGCUGAGGGGAUUAAAGCCACAGGAAGCUAUUCGUUUUCCUUCUCCUCGUCCGCGCCAACCCGCUGCUUUCCGCGGGCAGAUUUCGCCCGGAUGAAAAAAAAAUCCGGGGCCGAGAUCGAACAGGGCGCUUACCCUUAAUGGCGGCGGACUGAGCGAGUUGCCAGGGAAUUAGCACACUGGAAAGUAAUGCUCUCAUUUAGAGUAGUGACCAUUUUAUGUAAAUUAUUAUCCUUGCUGGUGUCCCUUAAUGUUGUGAAACAACAUCCUUACAUAAGGUAAGUCAGCAUAUUCAAGCACAUCUGAGAGAGAUGGUUUCUAAAGCAGCUUAGUUUUGCAAGAUACCUUCACCAUAACUCAAAGUCGUG